ensembl:snRNA U1 U1 spliceosomal RNA
GUACUUACCUGGCAGGGGAGACACCAUGAGCAUGAAUGCGGUUUUCCCAGGGCGAGGCUUAUCCGUUGCACUCUGAUGUGCUGACCCUUGCUAUUUCCCCAAAUGUGGGAAACUCGACUGCAUAAUUUGUGGUAGCGAGGGACUGUGUUCACACUUUUCCCUG